CAAAGCCCAUACCGCAUAGUCAGCUAUAAAAGGCCCCGAUAAGACAAUGUGAAACAAUUUAAACGAGAAAACUAACGGCCUUAUUUAUGUAAAAAAAUGAACGAAAAACAAAUAUGUAACACAUAAACAAACGACAACCACUGAAUUACAAGCUCCUGACUUGGGACAGGCACAUACAUAAAUAAUGUGGCGGGGUUAAACGUGUUAGCGGG
rnacentral:lncRNA from 1 species